rnacentral:rRNA from 1 species
UACAGAGGUCUCAAGCGUUGUUCGGAUUCAUUGGGCGUAAAGGGCGCGUAGGCGGUGCCACAAGUCACUUGUGAAAUCCCGGCUUAACUCGGGCCUGCAGGCGAACUGUGGUGCUGGAGUAUGGGAGAGGUGCGUGGAAUUCCGGUGUAGCGGUGAAUGCGUAGAUAAUCGGGAGGAACACUGUGGCGAAAGCGGCGCACUGGACAUACUGACGCUGAGGCGCGAAAGCUAGGGG